GCUGUUAGUGCAGCCUCAGUGAUGGAGCAAGCUGGAAAUGCCUGUCCCCCCACACCUGAGCCCUAGACAGCAGCUGAGUGCAGAUCAUCCUUGCUCUGAGGCUGACAGCAGAACAAAGUGGGCUUUCAGACUUCGCAGACAGUUAAGGUUUAUGUGUCACGGAUGCACGUGGAAUCACCUCAGAGGAGAUCAAGAGUCAGUUUGAACCAGCAGCUCCUCAGAUCUGGUGCUCUCCUUUGGCAGAGGCCUGUCCAGCAGAAGACACGAGCACAUGUUCCAGGAGGUCUGUUCCAGAGAACAGCUCCUCUCGCUAUCUUCCUCCUGCUUCCACAUCUUACAUCUGCUUGGAAUGUAGAGGCUGAUUUGGGACCUGACUCUGGCUCCUGGCGAAGGCAUCCUGACUUGUCAGUCCCUGCAAAGGCUGCUGCAAGAAGCCUUGAUAACAACUUGGGUUGUGUCCACCAUGCAGAGCCAGUGCCUGAUGCUGGACACCCCAAGGUGCCAAACGCUGUCGUUCUUGCUCAGCCCAGCUUCCUGCUCCAGGCAAAUGGUAUUUGAUGAGCGGCUGCUCAAGCACUGGGGGUUUGACCCUCACGUGUGUCCAGCCCUCCCCAGCACUGACAUGGUCUGCUCAUCAGCCAGUAACUCAGUUUGCAAUAGAGCCAGCUGAAAAUUUUUCAACAGAGUGAUUUCUCAUCCAGUAAAGUCUAUUUAAAAAUCAAAAUAUUUCUCGGCAGUUUGUCAAUUUCAAUGAAAUUUUACACCAGGAGAAUGUCAAAACACGGUGUUUCAUCACCACCGUGCUGGUUCUUCUCAAUGGCAUUGACAUGCUUCGCUUCAUUCUGGUCGUUUUGCUUCCACUGCUGCACAUAGCUGAAUAUUGACUCAAACCUUCUAGAGAGUUUAGAUUUUCCACUGCCUAAUGUCUUAGUUUUUCCUGAUUUGGUAUAAUAGGAAAGUAGGAAUAAAUAAUUUAAAUAAGA